AUUGAACGCUGGCGGAAUGCUUUACACAUGCAAGUCGAACGGCAGCACGGGGGCAACCCUGGUGGCGAGUGGCGAACGGGUGAGUAAUACAUCGGAACGUGCCCAGUCGUGGGGGAUAACGUAGCGAAAGUUACGCUAAUACCGCAUACGAUCUACGGAUGAAAGCGGGGGACCGUAAGGCCUCGCGCGAUUGGAGCGGCCGAUGUCAGAUUAGGUAGUUGGUGAGGUAAAGGCUCACCAAGCCGACGAUCUGUAGCUGGUCUGAGAGGACGACCAGCCACCCUGGGCCGGAGACACGGCCCGGACUCCUACGGGAGGCAGCAGUGGGGAAUUUUGGACAAUGGGCGCAAGCCUGAUCCAGCCAUUCCGCGUGCAGGACGAAGGCCUUCGGGUUGUAAACUGCUUUUGUACGGAACGAAAAGGCUCUGGUUAAUACCUGGGGCUCAUGACGGUACCGUAAGAAUAAGCACCGGCUAACUACGUGCCAGCAGCCGCGGUAA
rnacentral:rRNA from 1 species